CGUGACCAGGAGUCUUGGGGAAAGCAUCUGUCUGUCAGGGUCACAAAUGACCCUUUUUCUGCUGUGGUCUCCUCCUCCAGCUCUUCGGGCCCUGGCGUGGACCCUUCUCCCAGAGGCACAUGCCCAGAACCCAGCAAUGGCCAAUGGGACCCUGAUGGCCGAGGGCCAGAGAAGACUCAAGUGCAAAGAGCUGAGGUGCUUACACGACCACCGCACAGGAACGAAGCGUCGGAGUGUGGAAUCGAGACCUGUUCUACUGCACUCCAGAGCACAUGUUCUUUCUACUCUGCCAUAAUGUUUGGGACAAAAUUGAAUCAUGAGGGUUUUUUUUUUUUCCAUUACAAAUGUAACACAUCGCUCCUGCGUACGGCUGGGAUGAGUCACUGGCACCAGACGUGCCCUCCUGCGAAAAACAGCUAUGAAACUGGACAAAAUACAGGAGGGCCACUGUUUUCAGGCGUUGAACAGUGGAAAGAGGACUGCGAUCCUUGAGAAGAGAUGAUGGUGAAGACAUGUCUCCAAGGAAACUCGUGUGAAGAUGUUCAUAGCAACAUCGUUUAUAAGAGCAAAGAAACCAAGAAUAACCCAAAUGUCCAGCAAGAGGAGAGCGGACAAAGAAACGCCGAGUUCUAUGGAAUACUACUGCACCUUUUAAAAGGAAGAGGACAAGCUCUUUAAAUAAAUCU
rnacentral:lncRNA from 1 species